GCUGGAAAAAAGAGUUGGGGUCGGGACAGACUCCAGGAUUUAAUUUGGAUGAGGGGAGAGUCUCCUCAAAGUGGAGAAUUCUGUGUUCAUGUCAUUGGGCUAUAUGGAACAGACAGGC